rnacentral:rRNA from 1 species
UACGGAGGGUGCAAGCGUUAUCCGGAUUCACUGGGUUUAAAGGGUGCGUAGGCGGACAGGUAAGUCAGUGGUGAAAUCUCUGAGCUUAACUCAGAAACUGCCGUUGAUACUAUCUGUCUUGAAUAUCCUGGAGGUAAGCGGAAUAUGUCAUGUGGCGGUGAAAUGCUUAGAUAUGACAUAGAACACCGAUAGCGAAGGCAGCUUACUACAGGAUGAUUGACGCUGAGGCACGAAAGCGUGGGGAGCAAACAGG